AUGUCCGGUUCCGACCUCCAGGGCCGGUGGAUGCCCUCCUUCGUCACGGAGGAGGACGUGCUAAAGCUGCGGGAGGCCAAGUACAUGGCUUAUGAGAUUUCGCACAGGUUGCCUGCCGAAGGGCAGGCCAUCCCCACCCCCGAGCCCGGCGAGUAUGUCGUCUUUGUAUCCCACCUCCGUCGGGGUUUAGGCUUCCCGAUGGAUCCUUUUGUGAGAGGGCUCAUGUUUUACUAUGGGUUGGAAUUCCACGAUUUGGCUCCGGAGUCCAUCCUCCAUAUUUCCGCAUUUAUUGUCGUCUGCGAAGCCUUCCUCCGUGUCGCCCCUCACUUCGGCCUGUGGCUGAAGACCUUCAAUGUGGCGCCGAAGAUGAUCGGGGGGCGUCAAGCGGACUGCGGCGGGGCGGCCAUAAGUAGGAGGACCGAUGCCCCGUGGCCCGCUGGCUCCUUCCAAGAGGAGCUUGGCCUGUGGCAGCAAGAGUGGUUCUAUAUUACCGUUCCGAGGGGACGCAGACAAAAGCCGCCGCCCUUAUUCCGCCCGGGACCUCCACGACGGUUGAUGUCGUGGGUCAACCAAGGGCUCAACUAG
rnacentral:rRNA from 1 species